UUCCCCUGCCAAUUGGCAAAGAGACACCUUAUUGGUGCUGGUAUUCUAUCAGUCAGGGGCAGAGCAGAUGGUAGUCCUUUGUUCAUCCUAGUUUGAUGCCUGGCUUAGUGGGCAAAGCUGUCUUAUGUCUAGGCCUCAAAA
rfam:Mus musculus chromosome 7, GRC primary reference assembly.